rnacentral:lncRNA from 1 species
UGCCCUAAGGUGUUAGGUUUCGAUUUCACAUUUAGCCAAAUUGCUAAAUAUCCUCUUGAAUUUUAAUCCAUGCCAUUCGAAAUUUUUUUUAAGGAUCGUAUUUUGAAUUUCUUUAAAGUUUUCAGCUUUUCGACACUAAGACAUUAAGUAAUCAACUAGGUACCAAUUUUGGGCGUAUCGAGGGUGCUAAUCCUUCCUCGUGCGUAACCAACUCCCGAACCCAUUUUUUCUGAAUUUCGUGGACCAAACUUGUUGUUUUAAUAAAAUCAAACCUUUUAUUAAAAACAAC